rnacentral:tRNA from 2 species
GUCCCCGUAGCUCAGUCGGAUAGAGCAUCAGAUUCCUAAUCUGAGGGUCAGAGGUUCGAAUCCUCUCGGGGACGCCA